AAACAGUGCAAUGUUUCAGCAGGUCACAUAUGACCUACUACCAUAUAACACCGUUGUAAUUGUGCCUUGAGACGAAAACAAGUGCCGCACGCAUUUUCCGUUGAUGUUGAUUGCCCCCACGCCGGCGCUUAUUUCGCCUGUAUUCUUAGUUGCUCUAAGGCUGUGUCUUUUAAUCAGCAGUGACUGUGUGUUAGUGUUAUAGUGGUUGGUGCACGGCCUACCGGUUUAUGGUGUAUUAAAUCUGAUGUCGACAUUAGACAGCAACGUUCCACCAAAACUGAUGUCUGUUAUUUUAUUAGAUAAGACUUGUAAGUUAUGUAUGUACUACUACUACUGUAUUAGGUAAACAGCUGUAACAGGUUAACUGUUACGUCACUGGCAUUUCACAUGAAGAACAACUCUGCAAUAUAAAGCUUACGUACCAGCAACGUCACAGCAGCUCUAUUGAUUCAAGGGCAAAAGGGAAGUCGACUUUGUAAGGCAUACAGAGAGAACAUAAACAUAACGCUACUCAACAAGAAAUACGCGUGUGAACGCACGUGCAACUAGAAAAGCUUUAUCAUUUUGAAAAUAGAUAGAGAGCAUAACGACACGCCAGGAUAAAAGAGAGAUGGGCCUCCUUCCAGCAAACUUUUUUUGUUUACUUCUCUCGUUUGAUGCACACGUGCAUUUUGUCACGUUUGUUUUUAAUGGUUUGCGGCUUAAUGUUUAUUUACAAUCAUUUUAUUU